rnacentral:rRNA from 1 species
GCCUAACACAUGCAAGUCGAACGGCUGUAGCAAUACAGCAGUGGCAGACGGGUGAGUAACACGUGGGAACCUACCUAGGGGUACGGAAUAACGCAGGGAAACUUGUGCUAAUACCGUAUACGACCUCAGGGUGAAAGAUUUAUCGCCCCUAGAUGGGCCCGCGUUGGAUUAGCUAGUUGGUGGGGUAAAGGCUCACCAAGGCGACGAUCCAUAGCUGGUCUGAGAGGAUGAUCAGCCACACUGGGACUGAGACACGGCCCAGACUCCUACGGGAGGCAGCAGUAGGGAAUCUUGGACAAUGGGCGAAAGCCUGAUCCAGCCAUGCCGCGUGAGUGAUGAAGGCCUUAGGGCUGUAAAGCUCUUUCGCCAGGGAAGAUAAUGACGGUACCUGGAUAAGAAGCCCCGGCUAACUUCGUGCCAGCAGCCGCGGUAAUAC